CAGUAUUUCCCUUUUUCGGACGUGGAGACGGUGUGCAUGGUUGUCGUCCCGUCUGUCGUGAGAUUUGGGUUAAGUCCCGCAACGGCGCAACCCCUAUUCUCAGUAGCCCGCGGUCAGGCCGGGCACCUUUGGGGAGACUGCCGGGGAUACCCGGAGGAAGGUGGGGAUGCGUCAAAUCAUCAUGCCCCUUAUGACUUGGGCUACACACGUGCUACAAUGGCGUAAACAAAGUGAAGCGAGCCGGUGACGGUAAGCAAACCACAAAAAUAACGUCUCAGUUCGGAUUGUAGUCUGCAACUCGACUACAUGAAGCUGGAAUCGCUAGUAAUCGCAGAUCAGAAUGCUGCGGUGAAUACGUUCCCGGGUCUUGUACACACCGCCCGUCACACCAUGGGAGUCGGAAAUGCCCGAAGUCGGUGACCUAACGUAAGAAGGAGCCGCCGAAGGCAGGUCUGAUAAAUGGGGUGAAGUCGUAACAAGGUAACCAUAUCUCUUGGGAAUUCGCGGCCGCCGGCAGGUCGACCAAUAUGGGAGAGUCCGGU
rnacentral:rRNA from 1 species